rnacentral:rRNA from 1 species
AUUGAACGCUGGCAGCAUGCCUUACACAUGCAAGUCGAACGGUAACAGGUUAAGCUGACGAGUGGCGAACGGGUGAGUAAUAUAUCGGAACGUGCCCAGUCGUGGGGGAUAACGUAGCGAAAGCUACGCUAAUACCGCAUACGAUCUACGGAUGAAAGCGGGGGAUCGCAAGACCUCGCGCGAUUGGAGCGGCCGAUAUCAGAUUAGGUUGUUGGUGAGGUAAAAGCUCACCAAGCCUGCGAUCUGUAGCUGGUCUGAGAGGACGACCAGCCACACUGGAACUGAGACACGGUCCAGACUCCUACGGGAGGCAGCAGUGGGGAAUUUUGGACAAUGGACGCAAGUCUGAUUCAGCAAUGCCGCGUGCAGGACGAAGGCCUUCGGGUUGUAAACUGCUUUUGUACGGAACGAAACGGUGAGCUCUAAUAUAGUUUGCUAAUGACGGUACCGUAAGAAUAAGCACCGGCUAACUACGUGCCAGCCGCCGCAGUAAAAC